GCACGCGAGUCGGUGGAGCUUAUUAACUGCGCGUGAGGUGUAAAGUAUGUAUGGCGCGCGAGUCAGUGGAGCUUAUUAACUGCGCGCGAGGUGUAAAGUAUGUAUGGCGCGCGAGUCGGUGGAGCUUAUUAACUGCGCUCGAGGUGUAAAGUAUGUAUGGCGCGCGAGUCGGUGGAGCUUAUUAAUUGCGCGCGAGGUGUAAAGUAUGUAUGGCGCGCGAGUCGGUGGAGCUUGCUCACCACACGCGGACAGGCGGGGGUGCACUCGCGCGGCGGUGGAGCAUAUCCAGCCGGCGGGUGUGUAUUCGCGCAGCUGCGGGUAUCUCCGACAAGAGGCGCACGUGUACGUGCGGAGGGGGCAUCUCCGACCAGAGGCGCACGUGCACGCGCGGAUGGGCAUCUCCGACAAGAGUCGUACCUGCACGCGCGGAGGAGCAUCUCCGACAAGAAGCGCAUGUGCUCGCGCGGAGGGGCAUGUUCGGCAAUGGUGCAUGUGCUCGCGCGGAGGGGCAUGCCCGGCAAGGGUGCAUGUGCUCGCGCGGAGGGGCAUGUCCAG
rnacentral:lncRNA from 1 species